AGUGAACGCUGGCGGUAGGCCUAACACAUGCAAGUCGAACGGCAGCACAGUAAGAGCUUGCUCUUACGGGUGGCGAGUGGCGGACGGGUGAGGAAUACAUCGGAAUCUACUUUUUCGUGGGGGAUAACGUAGGGAAACUUACGCUAAUACCGCAUACGACCUACGGGUGAAAGCAGGGGAUCUUCGGGCCUUGCGCGAUUGAAUGAGCCGAUGUCGGAUUAGCUAGUUGGCGGGGUAAAGGCCCACCAAGGCGACGAUCCGUAGCUGGUCUGAGAGGAUGAUCAGCCACACUGGAACUGAGACACGGCCCAGACUCCUACGGGAGGCAGCAGUGGGGAAUAUUGGACAAUGGGCGCAAGCCUGAUCCAGCCAUACCGCGUGGGUGAAGAAGGCCUUCGGGUUGUAAAGCCCUUUUGUUGGGAAAGAAAAGCAGCAGGUUAAUACCCCGCUGUUCUGACGGUACCCAAAGAAUAAGCACCGGCUAACUUCGUG
rnacentral:rRNA from 1 species